rnacentral:lncRNA from 1 species
CGCCACCUGGCCAACAGUGAAAAGUACCAGACUCCUCCACACCAGAGUUUUAAAGAUUUGGAGAGAAAAUACUGGAAGAAUCGCCUCUAUGGUUGCCCCAUUUAUGGUGCUGACAUCAGCGGCUCCUUGUUUGAUGAAAACACAAAGCAGUAGAACCUUGGGCGCCUGGAAACCAUUCUGGAUCUGUUGGAGCAGGAAUCUGGAGUUGUCAUCGAGGGAGUCAACACACCCUACCUGUACUUUGGCAUGUGGAAGACCAUGUUCGCGUGGCACACGGAGGACAUGGACCUCUACAGCAUCAACUACCUGCACUUUGGGGAGCCCAAAACUUGCUGAGCACCCCUGUCUUUCCUAGUGGACAUGGAAGCUUAUUCUGUAGAAAAAGAAGCUAUGAGACUGAGCUCAGGGACUGCAGGCAGAGAAGGACGGGAGUGAGAUGCCUCGCUGAUAGGAAGAUUAAGUUAAUAUGGAAAUGGUGGAACCACAAGAUAGAACCACAUUGAAUUCACU